rnacentral:sRNA from 1 species
GACGGCGCGGGGCCCGCGCCGGUUCUCAACCGUAAAGUUCCAGGGAGCAGGUAAAUGUCGAACCGUGAAACCGGUACCGUCAAGUGGUUCAACGACGCCAAGGGCUUCGGCUUCAUCAGCCGCGAGAACGGCGAGGACGUGUUCGUGCACUUCCGCGCCAUCCAGACCCAGGGCUUCAAGAGCCUGAAGGAAGGCCAGCAGGUCUCCUUCACCGUCGUGCAGGGGCAGAAGGGCCUGCAGGCGGACGCGGUCGAGCCGCUGUAAGCCCGGCCCGCCGGGGCGGUACCACCGAUACGAAAGAGCCCGGCGAUUGCCGGGCUCUUUUUU